GGGGGUGUGGCUCAAUGGUAGAGCACUCACCUAGCACGUGCAAGGCCCUGGGUUCAAUCCUCAGCACCACAU
rnacentral:tRNA from 1 species